rnacentral:rRNA from 1 species
UACGAAGGGUGCAAACGUUGCUCGGAAUUAUUGGGCGUAAAGCGCACGUAGGCGGCUAUCUAAGUCGGAUGUGAAAUCCCUCGGCUUAACCAAGGAAGUGCACCCGAAACUGGAUAGCUUGAGUACAGAAGAGGAUCGCGGAAUUCCCGGUGUAGAGGUGAAAUUCGUAGAUAUCGGGAGGAACACCAGUGGCGAAGGCGGCGAUCUGGGCUGAUACUGGCGCUGAGGCGCGAAAGCCAGGGGAGCAAACGGG